UGGGGAAUAUUGCACAAUGGGCGCAAGCCUGAUGCAGCCAUGCCGCGUGUGUGAAGAAGGCCUUCGGGUUGUAAAGCACUUUCAGCGGGGAGGAAGGCGUUAAGGUUAAUAACCUUGGCGAUUGACGUUACCCGCAGAAGAAGCACCGGCUAACUCCGUGCCAGCAGCCGCGGUAAUACGGAGGGUGCAAGCGUUAAUCGGAAUUACUGGGCGUAAAGCGCACGCAGGCGGUCUGUCAAGUCGGAUGUGAAAUCCCCGGGCUCAACCUGGGAACUGCAUUCGAAACUGGCAGGCUAGAGUCUUGUAGGGGGGGGUAGAAUGCCAGGUGUAGCGGUGAAAUGCGUAGAGAUCUGGAGGAAUACCGGUGGCGAAGGCGGCCCCCUGGACAAAGACUGACGCUCAGGUGCGAAAGCGUGGGGAGCAAACAGG
rnacentral:rRNA from 1 species